rnacentral:rRNA from 1 species
UACACUCCUGCGGGAGGCAGCAGUGGGGAAUAUUGCACAAUGGGCGCAAGCCUGAUGCAGCCAUGCCGCGUGUAUGAAGAAGGCCUUCGGGUUGUAAAGUACUUUCAGCGGGGAGGAAGGCAAUACGGUUAAUAACCGUGUUGAUUGACGUUACCCGCAGAAGAAGCACCGGCUAACUCCGUGCCAGCAGCCGCGGUAAUACGGAGGGUGCAAGCGUUAAUCGGAAUUACUGGGCGUAAAGCGCACGCAGGCGGUCUGUCAAGUCGGAUGUGAAAUCCCCGGGCUCAACCUGGGAACUGCAUUCGAAACUGGCAGGCUUGAGUCUUGUAGAGGGGGGUAGAAUUCCAGGUGUAGCGGUGAAAUGCGUAGAGAUCUGGAGGAAUACCGGUGGCGAAGGCGGCCCCCUGGACAAAGACUGACGCUCAGGUGCGAAAGCGUGGGGAGCAAACAGGAUUAGAUACCCUAGUAGUCCC